UCCCACUGCCACUUCACAACUGUGGGCCAUUCCCACACUUACCUGUUGAGAGUUACUUGAUACUAAACUGGGAAAGACAGGAAGCUUCUUGAGUGUUUUCUUCUGUUGUUUAUAUAGCACAAGGAACAGUGUCUGGUCCCCAAAUCCUAUUUUUUGAAUGGAUGGAUGAUGUUGCUCUCCAACUUACAUGCUGCCUUCUCCACAAAAUUUAAACUUUCUAGCAGGGCCAACAAAGGAAUUCAUGAUCUCCUCCCUGCUUUAUCUACAACCACCACCCCACUUGAACCUCAAAAUCCUGAUAUUCCAAGUUCUGUGAAGUUCCCUACAAAGAUCAGGUAUCUGUUAUCCUGGGACUUUGUACACAGUCUUCUCUCUGCCUGGAAACCCCUUCUCCUCUUGAGUGCUUGUGAACACCAGCAGAGACUCAUUGAGCGCUUAUGCUGAGCCUCAUACUGCAAGGUGGUGAAAGAUGGGAAGGUAGGUAAGAAGAUGAGUCAGUCAAUGGCCCAUCAGUGGGAGAUGAGUGGUGAGGAAAAGGGUAAAGCGACAAUGAUGGAGAGCGGUAGGGAGGGCAUGAAAUUAGAGGCAGGAGGGCUAGGGAAGACCAUCCUGAGAAAGCAACCAGUCAGAUCUUGAAUCAAAUCAGCCAUGUGGCUCUCCAAGGAAGAAGCACUGCAGGCAAAGGGAACAGAGCACAGAGGCUGAAGAGGCCUGGAGCAGAAGUCCUGCAGACCCCCAUGAUGCAGGGGCAGAGAAAGCAGAGCUAAAGAAGGUAGCUAGAGAAAAGUGAUCCAGAAAGUAGACUCAUGUAGGGCCCCCUGAGUCCAAAAAGUAGACGAAAAGUCAAAACGCUGCAUACAUGUUUGGUGAACUGAGGCCAGGGACAAUCUGUGGCACUGAAUUUUCUGAGGCUAUGCUGCAAAGGGAGUAAGAAAUAAAUGGGAAGCAAGAACGUAGCCACAGCAAUUACAGAUGACUCCUUCAAGAUGUCUUGAUAGACAAGGGAAAAUGAAAGUUCCUGGGGCUGUAGAGGGUUGAGGAAGGUUUUGUAGGAUGGAGACUGAAGUUUGUGAGAGGAGGAAACCAGGCCAGAGGGGAACACAAAGGAACUGGAGUAAGUGACUGGUGGGGCAAGAGCUUCCCAGAGGUGAGAACAGAGCCAGGAAGAGCGGAAAGAACACGUCUGGACUCCAG